UGCCAGACUCUGCCACACCUUCCUGGUCUGGUCUCUCUCUCUUUCUCUCUCUCUCUCUCUCUCUCUAUCUCAUUCGCCGACGCCAUUCAUCCUGAGGGUUCCCCUGGAUCCUGCUGGGGCUGGACACUGGCAAGUGGCGCCACGAACAGGGACCCAAAGAAAAACUAAAGAAGUUUGGGACUGCUGAUGAAUAAAAGGAAUGCCUCGGAGUCCUGAAUACAUUUUCCUGCUAGCCUGUGUCUCCCAAACUUAACUCAGCUUACUUAUCCAACCCUACCCCCACCCCCCACCCCCACCCCCCGCCUUUAUUACAGGUCAGAAAAUAGACAGAAAAAAGAUGGAUCAAAUCUACCAAUGACUCUGCCCAUAUGCCCCCUCCCUGUAACCCUCACACCCUGGGGAGAAGAAAAAACUAAUUAACACUUCUUUAGGCUAUGAAGUCCUUGCAUUGCCUGGGCCCAGAAAAAUUAUGCAUAAACGUCGGCCAACAAACUUGGGUUUUCAUCCUACCUCCAAAAGAAGGCUUUUGGACAUUGUGGCCCUUUCUCUGUCUGUGAAACAUGUUUAUACUACUAAAACUAUAGGGAAAGAGUUAGGGAAAGAACAAAACACAUUAUAUACUAUGCUGCUUAAGUGGCUUAAAAAGUUACUAACACUAUGUUGAAACAUUACCAUGACAAAGGACUUCUUGGCUGGCUUGACAGUGGAAUGACACCCUCCUCCUACUCCUGGAAUCGUCCUCGAUAAACAAAUUGGGCCUAAACUAUGAGACAUAUAUAAAACAUAAAAACUUGCUGCC